CCUACGGGAGGCAGCAGUUAGGAAUAUUCGUCAAUGGGGGAAACCCUGAUGCAGCAACGCCGCGUGAGUGAAGAAGGUCUUCGGAUUGUAAAGCUCUGUUCUUGGGGAAGAUAAUGACGGUAGCCAAGGAGAAAGCUCCGGCUAACUACGUGCCAGCAGCCGCGGUAAUACGCAGGGAGCGAGCGUUGUCCGGAUUUACUGGGUGUAAAGGGUGCGCAGGCGGCUCUGCAAGUCAGGCGUGAAAGCUAGGGGCUCAACCCCUAAACUGCGCUUGAAAC
rnacentral:rRNA from 1 species